rnacentral:snoRNA from 1 species
AACCCAUGGUGAGGGCACCUUCUCAAUAGGUCUUUGUAUCUCUCCCAUGCAUCAUAAAGAGUUUCUAGAUCCAUCUGCAUAAAAUAAGAGAUAUCCUUCCUCAAUUU